CUGCGAGUGAAACGGGAAGUGCCCAGCACCGAAUCCCUCAGCCCCAGGCUGACGGGAAGUGUGGUGUUUAGAGUGAUCGCUGUGCGUCUUGCUGGCGCCUAAGUCUCCUUGACUGGGGUCCGAUGGCCCAGAGUGGGUGUCAGGCCUUUAAGGCGUUGGCUGGCCGUGCAAUGGUUGCUCGAAGAGUCGGGUUGUUUCUGAGUACAACCCAAAGUAGGUGGUAAACUCCAUCUAAGGCUAAAUACGAGUACGAGUCCGAUAGCGAACAAGUACCGUGAGGGAAAGUUGCAAAGAACUUUGAAGAGAGAGUUCAAGAGUACGUGAAACCGCCCGGAGUGAAGCUGGUGAAGCCACAAGUUCGCUUGUCGGAAUCAGUCGUCUGGCAGGAGCGCAUGGUUGGCUGUUGCAUGUGCUGAAAGGUGCAUGGACAGUCGAUCGUGUGUUGUGAGAUUCCUGUCGGGCGAUGUAUGUCUGACGAGCGAUGUGUCACGAGGAUUUGCUAGGCGUCUAGACGUGGCUCGAGCAGGUAACACUUGCGGUCUAGUUUGUGGAUCGUCUGUGUGAUGCUUGGUCAUAUAGCAUGUCUGGCGAAUCAGGACAGCUUGUUCUUAGCUGCAGCAAUCCGUGCCACUGUGGGGGGCGCGUAGGUUGUCAGUGCGUGUCAUCUGUGCUCGGGACUGCUUUGCAGUGUCGGUCUAAGUUGAUGCGCAUGAUGGCAAUUUCGCUGCAAGUGAAUUGCUUCGAAUUGCUGUUCCGUGGCCCGUUGGUCACUCACCAGUCCCGUCUUGAAACACGGACCAAGGAGUUCAGCAUGCAGGCGAGUCUGAGGGUGAAGUAAAACCCGAAGGCGCAGUGAAAGCAAAGGUUGCCCUCGUGGCAGCUGAGAUGUGAUCCGGCUUCUUGAACGGAGUCGGCGCAACAUCGUCUCGUCGUGUCCCCGUGUGGGUGCGGCGAAGAUUGAGCCUGCACGCUGCGACCCGAAAGAUGGUGAACUAUGCCAGAGGAGGACGAAGCCAGAGGAAACUCUGGUGGAGGUCCGAAUCGAUUCUAACGUGCAAAUUGAUCGUCAGACUUUGGUAUAGCGGCGAAAGACUAAUCGAACCAUCUAGUAGCUGGUUCCCUCCGAAGUUUCUCUCAGGAUAGCUGGCACUCGCUUUGGAUUUUCACCCGGUAAAGCGAAUGAUUAGAGUGAUUUGGGUGUUAAAUUGCCUAAACCUAUUCUCAAACUGUAAAUGGAUGAGUACCGAGGAAACUCGCUUAAG
rnacentral:rRNA from 1 species